AGAGCGAACGCUGGCGGCGUGCUUAACACAUGCAAGUCGAACGCGCAGCAUUCUGUAGCAAUACAGGGUGUGGGCGCGUGGCGAACGGGUGCGUAACACGUGGAUAACCUUCCUUGAGGUGGGAAUAACCCAGUGAAAUUGGGCUAAUACCGCAUAACAUCGCGAUGGCACAUGCUGAUGCGAUCAAAGGCGCAAGUCGCCACAAGAGGGAUCCGCGGCCGAUUAGCUUGUUGGCGAGGUAAUGGCUCACCAAGGCAAUGAUCGGGUA
rnacentral:rRNA from 1 species